UGACUGUAAGCAGUAGGAUUUGGAACACUGAUGAGCGAAGAAAUAUCAACGUGUAGAGUGAAUCGGUCGGAGGUGGGGAAGUCGCUGAAUUGCUGAAGUGUAUGUCUAAAUGCGUGUGGAAAGGAGGAGUAAUGCUGCCUUGACUUUGAUUCCUGUGUUGGAAGGAAAACAUUUGGUAUGACGACGGCAGCGGCGGCGUUUAGAUACUUGGUACAACUCCACAGAGAUGUUCCCAAGGCGGCUAGAUUCUACUCGGAGGGCCUGGGAUUCACCAUUAGCGUUUGCACCCUUCGAUGGGCCGAGCUUCAUUCCGGCCCGCUCAAACUCGCUCUCUUGCACUCUCCCACCGCUAGGGACCAUGUUGAGCACAAGGAUUAUUCAUCACUCCUAUCAUUUACAGUGUCUGACGUGAAUAGUACUGUGAAUAAAUUGAUGGCCUUGGGUGCAGAACUGGAUGGUUCUAUCAAAUAUGAAACCCAUGGCAAGGUAGCAGCAAUGAGGUGUCCUGAUGGCCAUGUCUUAGGUCUAUACGAGCCUAAUUGUUAGAUGGAGAUGAAGUAAUCUUGAAUACCCAGAUCGGACAAUAUACUUACCAUGGAGCUGUUGUUUUCUCCAUAUCCUAGCAAGAAGGUUGGGCUAUUCCUCGGGAGAAAGGGAAUCCUUAAUGAAGAAAAAGAAAGAGGAGGCAGGCAAUGGAAGAAAAGAAUUUGAAGGUUUUAAGGUCUACUCCACUCCACAUUUGAGAUCUGCAGAGAUCACUUCACUUGGUCAGCAGGAACUGAUGUAAAAUUCUGCCCUACUUGACUGGAGUUUCGGUUGGUAUGAUGAGGUUUUCUGCAUCGGGCACCUAUAAGAGAAAGUAUCUACCAGUGUCUGGUUGAGACAUUUCUGGUGGGGAAGAAAAACCAACUUAAGAAGGGAUCCGGUUGGGGAAGGAAUGGUGAGUAUGCUUUGUUUAUAUAAAUAAGCAGUGCAAGCAACCAAGCAGCAAACUGCUGAUUCAACGAGUUACUGUAGUUUGCUUGCUUGCUUGAGUAAUUUUGGUGGAGAUGCAUGGCAUGGGACGAUGCCAUGCCAGCACUGCACUCUAAACACAUAACACCAAUUCCGCUAGCCUGAGAGAGAACUACUACAACUUGUCAUAUGUUGCUGCCGGCUGCCCCAAGCUAUGAGCAGCAUCGUAUCAUUUCAGAGCAACAAAUAUUAUAUGCAGGCCAGCCAGAACGCGAAACCCCUCAAGGCCAGGAAGAGAUGUGCAUUCUCCACUACCAACAUAUUUAUGCUGGCUGGCGGUCAGUGCUUUCAAUCUUCUUCACAUACAUGCAAACAUUACGAAUGAAAGGUGUCCUCCCCCUAUUCAUCUCAGAGGUGUGGGGCGAAAAGGGGAAGGACCAGCAUGAAGGAAUUUACAACAAUACAAAAGGUUUCUGUGUUAGGAAGAAGCCGUACGUGGUAAUGCAAAACUGCACUUGAGCACAAACAGGAGAUGAAUGAAUGCCGGAGAGUGGACGGAGGGCUCCAACAUCCAUCCAUCCGUGGUGGGGAUUAUCUGACUGACAGAGAGCAUUGUUUUGGUUUUGAAGUUGAAGAAGAAUAACAGCUUUCCAGCGUAACAAGACAAGACAGGAAAUAGACAAUAAGAGAGAGAGUGAGUGAGAGAUUGAUGUAGAGAGCGCAAGAGCAAUGAUUAAGAUCCAGGUGUGUUACUGCGACCAUAAAAUGACCUAAAUGGUGGCGGAUAGACAUUAGAUAGACAGACAGACAGACAGAUAGAUUGCCUGCCUUCAACUCUAACACAGCUAACUUCCAUCACAAACAUGAAAAUGGAAGUAACCACCUUUCUUGCUCUC